rnacentral:rRNA from 1 species
ACUCAAAUGAAUUGACGGGGGCCCGCACAAGCAGCGGAGCAUGUGGUUUAAUUCGAAGCAACGCGAAGAACCUUACCAAGGCUUGACAUCCAAAGAAUCCACAAGAGAUUGAGGAGUGCCCUUCGGGGAACUUUGAGACAGGUGGUGCAUGGUUGUCGUCAGCUCGUGUCGUGAGAUGUUGGGUUAAGUCCCGCAACGAGCGCAACCCCUGUUGUUAGUUGCUACCAUUAAGUUGAGCACUCUAACGAGACUGCCGAGGUUAACUCGGAGGAAGGUGGGGAUGACGUCAAAUCAUCAUGCCCCUUAUGCCUUGGGCUACACACGUGCUACAAUGGCCGGUACAAUUUGAUGCAAGACCGCGAGGUGGAGCAAAUCAGAAAAACCGGUCCCAGUUCGGAUUGUAGGCUGCAACUCGCCUACAUGAAGCUGGAGUUGCUAGUAAUCGCGAAUCAGCAUGUCGCGGUGAAUGCGUUCCCGGGCCUUGUACACACCGCCCGU